GGAGAUGAGUGUGGUGACUGCAUCGAUCAAUGUUCUGGACGCGGGUUCGAGUCCCGCCAUCUCCA
rnacentral:tRNA from 1 species